rnacentral:rRNA from 1 species
CAGCAGCCGCGGUAAUACAGAGGAUGCAAGCGUUAUCCGGAAUGAUUGGGCGUAAAGCGUCUGUAGGUGGCUUUUCAAGUCCGCCGUCAAAUCCCAGGGCUCAACCCUGGACAGGCGGUGGAAACUACCAAGCUGGAGUACGGUAGAGGCAGAGAGAAUCUCCGGUGGAGCGGUGAAAUGCGUUGAGAUCGGAAAGAACACCAACGGCGAAAGCACUCUGCUGGGCCGACACUGACACUGAGAGACGAAAGCUAGGGGAGCAAAUGGGAUUAGAUACCCCCGUAGUCCCUGUCUCUUAUAC